GAUGAAGAACGUAGCGAAAUGCGAUAAGUAAUGUGAAUUGCAGAAUUCAGUGAAUCAUCGAAUCUUUGAACGCACAUUGCGCCCGCCAGUAUUCUGGCGGGCAUGCCUGUUCGAGCGUCAUUUCAACCAUCAAGCCCCCGGGCUUGUGUUGGGGACCUGCGGCUGCCGCAGGCCCUGAAAACCAGUGGCGGGCUCGCUAGUCACUCCGAGCGUAGUAGUUACAUCUCGCUCAGGGCGUGCUGCGGGUUCCGGCCGUUAAAAGCCUUUUACCCCAAGGUUGACCUCGGAUCAGGUAAGGAUACCCGCUGAACUUAAGCAUAUCAAUAAGCGGAA
rnacentral:misc_RNA from 1 species